rnacentral:SRP_RNA from 1 species
UCUCGGGCUCUGUGCAAUCUAGAUCCGCGAAUCCCGCCAGGUUCGGAAGAAAGCAACGGUAGUGGAACCCCAGAUGUGCCGCAGACCAACCCGGGGCCU